UUUUGUUGAGUCAAAGCAUCCUCAGAAGUUUGAGAGGCAGCAAGAUGUUGGCAGCCCACCUCCACCUCCUCCUUCUCCUAUGUUUCACAGUCUCCAAUGGGCAGAUCACGCUCACCCAGCAAGCAGAGUCCCUUUGGAUUUCUCCAGGAGAGAGAGUCUCCAUCACCUGCAGGGCCAGUCAGAGCCUCCUCUACACAGAUGGAAAGCACUACCUAUCUUGGUACCAGCAGAGACCAGGACAAACUACCAAGGCCCUCAUUUACCACGCUUCAGUCAGGACUGAUGGAGUCCCCACCAGGUUCAUUGGCAGCGGAUCUGGGACAGAAUUUACCCUUUCUAUUGAACAUGUCCAGCCUGAGGACUUUGCAAUUUAUUAUUGUCUUCAAACACUGAAGAGCCCUUCCACAGUGAUUGAGUCUUGAACAAUAACUGCCCAUGGGCCUGCUUCACCCACCUGCCUGGGACUCAGGGACUCCUCUGAGAGAAACAACUGGGGAGUCUGUGCAGACAGUGAAAACCAGCUUAAUGGCACAAACACAGACUACUACAUGGAGUUGUCUCAUCUGUUUAGUCUCCUGUGUGAUUUUCAGUGGCUUGCACAGAAAAGAUGUAAAAGACAUUGGAUCAAAUUUUAAAAAGCAGAAAAAAGCAGGCUGGAUUAGUACAUAUUCAUUCUCCCCCCUCC